GUACACACUUUGGCAGCACAUAUACUAAAAUGGGAACAAUACUAAGAAGAUUAGUAUGACCCCUGUGCAAGGAUGACAUGCAAAUUUGUGAAGCAUUCCAUAUUUUA